rnacentral:lncRNA from 1 species
GUUAAGUAGGGUCUGGCCUGGAAUACUCUUCUAGAUGAAAAUAGCCCAACCAUGAGCCACCUUCUCAGCAGAUGAGAUGAAAUUAAAGCUCUUCACCUCCUCAAGGCCCAGAGACUAUCACAAAAGAGGUCAGAAAUCCUGAAGAUCACUUUCUGACAAACUCAGGAGCUCCAGGUUUAUCUUGGAACCUCAAGAGGAGAGAAAUUCACCCAACUCAG